rnacentral:rRNA from 1 species
GGCUCGAUUAUGGCUCAGAUUGAACGCUGGCGGGAUGCUUUACACAUGCAAGUGUCGAAACGGCAAAGACGGACUGGUCUGGUGGCGAGUGGCGGACGGGUGAGUAAUGUAUCGGAACGUGCCGGUAAGUGGGGGAUAACUACGUGAAAGCGUAGCUAAUACCGCAUGUCACGCCUUUCGGGGAAAGCGGGGACCGGGCCUCGCACUAUUAGAGCGGCCGAUAUCGGAUUAGGCUAGUUGGUGGGGUAACGGCUCACCAAGGCGACGAUCCGUAGCUGGUUUGAGAGGACGACCAGCCACACUGGGACUGAGACACGGCCCAGACUUUACGGGAGGCAGCAGUGGGGACGGACACAGCCCCGAUCCAGCCAUCCCGCGUGUGCGAUGAAGGCCUUCGGGUUGUAAAGCACUUUUGGCAGGAAAGAAAACGGCACGGGAUACCCCGCAACUGACGGUACCUGCAGAACAAGCACCGGCUAACCACGUGCCAGCAGCCGCGGUAAUACGUAGGGUGCAAGCGUUAAUCGGAAUUACUGGGCGUAAAGCGUGCGCAGGCGGUUCGGAAAGAAAGAUGUGAAAUCCCAGAGCUUAACUUUGGAACUGCAUUUUUAACUACCGAGCUAUGAGUGCGUCGAGGUGAGGUGGAAUUCCGCGUAGCAGUGAAAUGCGUAGAUAUGCGGAGGAACACCGAUGGCGAAGGCAGCCUCCUGGGAUAACACUGACGCUCAUGCACGAAAGCGUAGGAGCAAACAGGAUUAGAUACCCUGGUGUCCACGCCCCAAACGAUGUCAACUUAGCUGUUGGGGCCUUCUUCGCCUGGUAGCGCAGCUAACGCGUGAAGUUGACCGCCUGGGAGUACGGUCGCAAGAUUAAAACUCAAAGAACGAUGGGACCCGCAUAAGCGGUGGAUGAUGUGGAUUAAUUCGAUGCAACGCGAAAAAACCUUACCUACCCUUGACAUGUCUGAAUCCCGAAGAGAUUUGGGAGUACCGCAAGAGAACGGAACAGACAGGUGCUGUGAAGGGCUGUCGUCAGCUCGUGUCGCAGAUGUUGGGUUAAGUCCCGCAACGAAGCGCAACCCUUGUCAUUAGCUGCCGAAAGGGCACUCUGACGACUGCCGGUGACAAACCGGAGGAAGGUGGGAUGACGCUGGAGCUCAUGGCCCUUAUGGGUCAGCACGUCAUGCUAAAUGGUCGGGACAGAGGGCCGCCAACCCGCGAGGGGAGCCAAUCCCAGAAACCCGAUCGUAGUCCGGAUCGCAGUCUGCAACUCGACUGCGUGAAGUCGGAAUCGCUAGUAACGCGGAUCAGUAAUGCGGUGAAUACGUUCCCGGCCUUAGGACACCUGCCUGUCACACCAUGGGAGUGGGUUUGCCCAGAAGUAGUUAGCCUAACCGUAAGGAGGGCGAUUACCACGGUAGUAUUCAUGACUGGGUGAAGUCGCACGCUACAG